CUCCCACCCGACCCAGCUCCAUCGGCGCAAGCCCUAUGCGGCAAUCUUCCUCCGUCACCUCAUCUACUUCGGGGAUGCCGUUCCCUGCUUCUGCUGCUACCCUGGGCAUCGCGGAUGACAUUGACAAAGUGGUCGUAGUGGUAGGCGAGGAGGACGACCUGAGGAGCCAUGUAUUCUGGCUGCGACCAGUGAAGUGCAGCGCGACAGAGGCACUCCAGAAGUGGACUGGCGAGGGCCGCCCUUGCGCCAGAUCUCCACUGCAUUACCCGAGAUCUCAGUUGCGGCAGUUGAUACAAGCACGCCCUUGAGGCUUCAGGAAGAUGUCGCCAGGAGACUGGUGGAGCGUGUUUUCGACUUGCAAGGAGAAUUGAUGAAUGUUUCUAGGUGCACGCCACAGUUUCAGUCUUCCAAAUAAAUUCCAGUCGUGGAUUGGUAUAGCAAUCUACACGAUUCUUGUGUUUCUAGGCGCACGUCACAGUUUCAGUCUUGCAUAGAGAAUGGCUUCUCCAUCUGUGGUUCACUCUAUUGUGUUUUGAGGUUUCUGAAUUUUCUCGGAGUGACCAUCUUCCUGGCCCUUAUAACUCUGUUAUUUGUUAUGUUGUCCAUUAAAUUUUAGUUCAAACGAUCCACAGGGGGAGCUGGUUAUGGGAUUCAGAAGGACAAACACUACAUGUAGCUUCUGUUACAGUUCAUCUACACUCGGUUAAUUGAAAGGAUGAUUGAAUGCAGAUUCAAGUGUGCUAUUUGUUUCCUGUCUGUCUGAUGAAGUAUUAUUGUGAAAUGCCUCCAGGCUGGACAAUUUGGAUCCUCUGCUGCCUCCUUUUAACUCUUGUGCUCUGCUUUCUACUAUGUUGGAGUUUUCAUCAGCAAAAAUUAGAUAAUCAUCCCACUUCCCAUGCUUGGCAUCAAAUACAGAAUUAUUGAAUUGGCUCUUCUACCGAACAUUGUUGUUUACUUUAUCUAUGUUGACCAGCUAUUUCUUCAAAGAAUUAUGGCCAGCUAUUUCUUCAAAGAACGACCAACAAAGCCUGGGGCAUGAUAUAUUUCGCAUCUAAUUAUAGCUGGAAUAGAUUGCGCCCCAUAGUGAUUGACUAAUCCACACGGCUUCAAUACAACAACGCCAUUUUGAAGGGCAAUCGAACUACAUUAUGUUCUAUAACAUAUGGUUAUGCAGGAUGAUAUUAUAGUCCCUAAGCUCACUGGUUAUAGCACGAAUUCAGUAGAAAAAUGCAUACUUAUUGGAGAAUUUCAUUUCUGUGGAGCAGUUCAUGCUUAAUAAGUUUUCUACUUGGGAGGAGCUACCUGAACUUGCAAAGUUUAUGAAUGAAUGUUCUCACUGGAGACUCAAACAAUCUUCCAUUUUCUUGAAGUUGCCAAGCCAUGUACAUCAGUAAAUGACCUGUAGGUUUAGCCAGACGAGCACAGCAAGAUUGGAACUCUGCAAUUGUUGUGUGUGGUAUGUAUUUCUUAAUAUAGUUUACCAUUUUUUAAAACUGUUUAUAUCAGUUCCCUUUGUAGUUGUUUCUCCGAAACUACAUUUAAUAUUAUUUUCCAGUUUUGUAUCAUCUUGCCUAAACACACAGAUGAAGAUUUGGCUGUUGUAGUUUGUUCACACUUCACAGUAUUCCAAACGACAUUUUACUUUUUUACACAUGAAGGGUGAUUUUGCACGCGGUUUAUCUGAGUAGGUAUUCUCACUUAGUCCAUCUGAUAACAUGAUUAAAUUUCCCUCAUUGUUAACACUUUAUAGCGUAACUGAAUUUGAUCACAAGAGGUGUGAAUUCAGGAUUUAUUUCUGUACCUGUGUGAAGGAUAUAUCAUCCACAAUGCACUAAUACAGUGAGAAAAUUAAUUUGUUUGGAAGGUGAUUUUUUUCCUUUGUCUGCAGCUGAAAGAAAAGAAAGCAAGAUAAGUAAAGAAUAAAACUGUCGUUGAAAUUGCAAACCUAAUCUGAAUGCUCUGCUAAACCAGAGGUCGGUGUUUCCUAAAAAAAGAGUUCAGCGGAGAAACUAAUGGACACUAAAAGAUCUUUCCCAUUUUGUGCUACUUAGUUCUCCAUGCAAUUCGAUUAGGUUAGCUACAUAUCUGGCAAUAGAAUUAUUUGCAUAUCCAGUCUUUAAUAGUGACAGUUUUGAAAUUGAACUCUUUGAGGGUAAAUCUUUGCUUGCUCUCAAGCUGAAUUCGAAGAAAGCAAACACACUAAGAAACCGAUGGACAGUGAAAGAUCAUGGGUUGUCAGAAUUUU